rnacentral:rRNA from 1 species
AGCGAACGCUGGCGGCAGGCCUAACACAUGCAAGUCGAACGAACCUUUCGGGGUUAGUGGCGGACGGGUGAGUAACACGUGGGAACGUGCCUUUAGGUUCGGAAUAACUCAGGGAAACUUGUGCUAAUACCGAAUGUGCCCUUCGGGGGAAAGAUUAAUCGCCUUUAGAGCGGCCCGCGUCUGAUUAGCUAGUUGGUUGAGGUAAUGGCUCACCAAGGCGACGAUCAGUAGCUGGUCUGAGAGGAUGAGCAGACACAUUGGGACGGAGACACGGCCCAAACUCCUACGGGAGGCAGCAGUGGGGAAUCUUGCGCAAUGGGCGAAAGCCUGACGCAGCCAUGCCGCGUGAAUGAUGAAGGUCUUAGGAUUGUAAAAUUCUUUCACCGGGGACGAUAAUGACGGUACCCGGAGAAGAAGCCCCGGCUAACUUCGUG